rnacentral:tRNA from 1 species
GGGCGCUAGCUCAGUUGGACAGAGUGCUGGCUUCGGACCAAGCUGUCGCGGGUUCAAAUCUGCAGCGCCCA